GAUGAACGCUGGCGGCGUGCCUAAUACAUGCAAGUCGAGCGAACAGACGAGGAGCUUGCUCCUCUGACGUUAGCGGCGGACGGGUGAGUAACACGUGGAUAACCUACCUAUAAGACUGGGAUAACUUCGGGAAACCGGAGCUAAUACCGGAUAAUAUAUUGAACCGCAUGGUUCAAUAGUGAAAGACGGUUUUGCUGUCACUUAUAGAUGGAUCCGCGCCGCAUUAGCUAGUUGGUAAGGUAACAGCUUACCAAGGCAACGAUGCGUAGCCGACCUGAGAGGGUGAUCGGCCACACUGGAACUGAGACACGGUCCAGACUCCUACGGGAGGCAGCAGUAGGGAAUGUGCCGCAAUGGGCGAAAGCCUGACGGAGCAACGACGCGUGAGUGACGAAGGUCUUCGGAUCGUAAAACGCUGUUAUUAGGGAAGAACAAAUGUGUAAGUAACUAUGCACGUCUUGACGGUACCUAAUCAGAAAGCCACGGCUAACUACGU
rnacentral:rRNA from 1 species